AUUAUUGAAGACAGGGUGAACCUAUUGGGGUCUUUACUACAGUUCUCUAUUCCCGAUCAAACCUCCUAUCCAAUGAGUGUCAAUAGUUUAAAAUCAGCCUAGGAGGAGGCUCAGAGUUGUUUGGGAGGGAGAAACGGAAAUUUCCUGAAGGGCAUAAAACAGAUCUGAGAGUAAAUCCCUGAUCUUCACAGUGGCCUCCUGCCAGCUUACAGGGAGGAGUAAGGUACGUGGUCUGGACUUGGAGAGGUUGACCACUGAAGUCCUCACGUCAGCGAGCUACCAGUGUUCAGAUGAAGGUUGCCCCAUGAGAGACAGAGAGACAGCGUGAGCAGGGGAGGG